UACGUAGGGUGCAAGCGUUGUCCGGAAUUAUUGGGCGUAAAGAGCUCGUAGGCGGUCUGUUGCGUCCGCUGUGAAAACUCGGGGCUUAACCCCGAGCCUGCAGUGGAUACGGGCAGACUAGAGGUAGGUAGGGGGAGAAUGGAAUUCCCGGUGUAGCGGUGAAAUUCGUAGAUAUCGGGAGGAACACCGGUGGCGAAGGCGGGUCUCUGGGCCGUAACUGACGCUGAGGAGCGAAAGCAU
rnacentral:rRNA from 1 species